GUACACGAGCGGCGAACGGGUGAGUAACACGUGGGUGAUCUGCCUUGCACUUCGGGAUAAGCCUGGGAAACUGGGUCUAAUACCGGAUAUGACCACGGAAUGCAUGUUCUGUGGUGGAAAGAUUUAUCGGUGCGAGAUGGGCCCGCGGCCUAUCAGCUUGUUGGUGAGGUAACGGCUCACCAAGGCGACGACGGGUAGCCGACCUGAGAGGGUGACCGGCCACACUGGGACUGAGACACGGCCCAGACUCCUACGGGAGGCAGCAGUGGGGAAUAUUGCACAAUGGGCGCAAGCCUGAUGCAGCGACGCCGCGUGCGGGAUGACGGCCUUCGGGUUGUAAACCGCUUUUGACAGGGACGAAGCGCAAGUGACUGUACCUGUAGAAUAAGGACCGGCCAACUACGUGCCAGCAGCCGCGGUAAUACGUAGGGUCCGAGCGUUGUCCGGAAUUACUGGGCGUAAAGAGCUUGUAGGCGGUUCGUCGCGUCGUUUGUGAAAACUUGGGGCUCAACCUUAAGCUUGCAGGCGAUACGGGCGGACUAGAGUACUUCAGGGGAGACUGGAAUUCCUGGUGUAGCGGUGAAAUGCGCAGAUAUCAGGAGGAACACCGGUGGCGAAGGCGGGUCUCUGGGAAGUAACUGACGCUGAGAAGCGAAAGCAUGGGUAGCAAACAGGAUUAGAUACCCUGGUAGUCCAUGCCGUAAACGGUGGGUACUAGGUGUG
rnacentral:rRNA from 1 species